GGUCCGUUGGCUCAAUGGCAGAGCGUCUGGCUUCGAACCAGGAGGUUGCAGGUUCGACCCCUGCACGGAUCG